rnacentral:rRNA from 1 species
UACGUAGGUGGCAAGCGUUGUUCGGAAUUAUUGGGCGUAAAGGGCGCGUAGGCGGCCGGUUAAGUCAGCUGUGAAAGCCCAGGGCUCAACCCUGGAAGUGCAUUGAAUACUGCCAGGCUGGAGUAUAGGAGAGGUAAGCGGAAUUCCUGGUGUAGAGGUGAAAUUCGUAGAUAUCAGGAGGAACAACGGUGGCGAAAGCGGCUUACUGGACUAUUACUGACACUGAGGCGCGAAAGCGUGGGGAGCAAACAGG